UACGGGGGGGGCAAGCGUUGUUCGGAAUUACUGGGCGUAAAGGGCUCGUAGGCGGCCAACUAAGUCCGACGUGAAAUCCCAGGCUUAACCUGGGAACUGCGUCGGAUACUGGAUGGCUUGAAUCCGGGAGAGGGAUGCGGAAUUCCAGGUGUAGCGGUGAAAUGCGUAGAUAUCUGGAGGAACACCGAUGGCGAAGGCAGAUCUCUGGGCCGUAACUGACGCUGAGGAGCGAAAGCAUGGGGAGCGAACAGG
rnacentral:rRNA from 1 species